AGAGUUUGAUCAUGGCUCAGGAUGAACGUUGGUAGUAUGCCUAACAUAUGCAAGUCGAACGACGAAAAGUAAUAAUCUGAAAAGGAGCAAUCCAGAGUAGGAGAGUUACCGAGUAAGAGUGGCGAACGGGUGAGUAAUGCUUAUCUUACCUGCCGUUUAGUGGGGGAUAAAAUACCGCAUAUUCUGGUUUCGACCAGGAAAGGACUUCGGUUCGCUAAAUGAUGGGGAUAAGUCGUAUCAGCUAGUUGGUGGGGUAAAGGCCUACCAAGGCAAAGACGCGUAGCCGGGCUGAGAGGCUGAUCGGCCACAAGGGAACUGAUACACGGUCCCUACUCCUUCGGGAGGCAGCAAUGGGGAAUUGUCGGCAAUGGGGGAAACCCUGACCGCGCGAUGCUACGUGAAGGAUGAAGGUCUACGGAUUGUAAACUUCUUUACUUGGAUGUACUUACAUCUGAGCAAAAAGUCACGACUAACUAUGUGCCAGCAGUCGCGGUAAGACAUAGGUGGCGAACGUUAUCCGGAUUUAUUGGGCGUAAAGGAUGCGUAGAUGGUGGAGUAAGUUAUUGGUCAAGGUCAAGCUCAACUUGGCGGAAGCUGAUAAUACUGCUUUGCUUGAGGAUAGGAGAGGUUGGCGGAAUUCUGUGUGUAGCGGCGGUGAAAUGUCUUGAUCUACAGAGGAACACCAAAAAAGGCGAAGGCAGCCAACCAUUCUGCUCCUGACAUUGAGGCAUGAAAGCGUGGGGAGCAAACCGGAUUAGAUACCCUAGUAGUCC
rnacentral:rRNA from 1 species